ACUGCAGUCGAGCGACAGAUAAGGAGCUUGCUCCUUUGACGUUAGCGGCGGACGGGUGAGUAACACGUGGGUAACCUACCUAUAAGACUGGGAUAACUUCGGGAAACCGGAGCUAAUACCGGAUAAUAUUUCGAACCGCAUGGUUCGAUAGUGAAAGAUGGUUUUGCUAUCACUUAUAGAUGGACCCGCGCCGUAUUAGCUAGUUGGUAAGGUAACGGCUUACCAAGGCGACGAUACGUAGCCGACCUGAGAGGGUGAUCGGCCACACUGGAACUGAGACACGGUCCAGACUCCUACGGGAGGCAGCAGUAGGGAAUCUUCCGCAAUGGGCGAAAGCCUGACGGAGCAACGCCGCGUGAGUGAUGAAGGUCUUCGGAUCGUAAAACUCUGUUAUUAGGGAAGAACAUACGUGUAAGUAACUGUGCACGUCUUGACGGUACCUAAUCAGAAAGCCACGGCUAACUACGUGCCAGCAGCCGCGGUAAUACGUAGGUGGCAAGCGUUAUCCGGAAUUAUUGGGCGUAAAGCGCGCGUAGGCGGUUUUUUAAGUCUGAUGUGAAAGCCCACGGCUCAACCGUGGAGGGUCAUUGGAAACUGGAAAACUUGAGUGCAGAAGAGGAAAGUGGAAUUCCAUGUGUAGCGGUGAAAUGCGCAGAGAUAUGGAGGAACACCAGUGGCGAAGGCGACUUUCUGGUCUGUAACUGACGCUGAUGUGCGAAAGCGUGGGGAUCAAACAGGAUUAGAUACCCUGGUAGUCCACGCCGUAAACGAUGAGUGCUAAGUGUUAGGGGGUUUCCGCCCCUUAUUGCUGCAGCUAACGNAUUAAGCACUCCGCCUGGGGAGUACGACCUCAAGGUUGAUACUCAAUGAAUUUAGNGGGAACUC
rnacentral:rRNA from 1 species